CAUGAGAUCAUGACCUGAGCUGAAGUCAGAUGCUCAACCGACUGAGCCACCCAGGCGCCCCCUCCCCAAUUUUUUUUUUAAUUAAAAAAUACUUGGUGAAUUCUUGUUGUAGAUGUAAGUUUUAUUUCAGCUGAAAUCAAACUUUGUAAAUAAUUUUUUUUUUGAAAGGUUGAUUUGACCUCAAUAUAGAGAGCCUUAGCAUGUGUGUGGGCCCACAAGAUCCUUGCUGAAAAAGAGAAGACAUCACUGUAAGGUCAGUGAAUUCAGGGGGAGCCAGGAUGAUAUUGUAAGUAGUUAAUAAUUACCCUGACCAUGCUAUCUAGACUGAAGCUCUCCCAAGGCAAUGCUUAGUGCAGAGCCCUGCAGAGAAGUUUCUUUUAAAAAAGCAAAAUUGUGGAAUAAGUGAAGUAUGUCAGUGACUUUUCACUUCCUUUUUUCAUUAUACUUUCGACCUGCUUCUGAAACCACCAUGACUUCAGAGACUAGGGCCGUCUGAUGGCCCCUGAAAGCGCAGGGUUCCCAGCCAGACUUGACUGUCCUGUGCUUUGGAUUUAUCCUUGGUGAUUCAGACUUCUGUUGGUCGACUGGUAUUGGCCUGUGAUACAUGAUCUGCUUACCAUCCAAUUUAAAGGAAUGGAACUCCAGAGGUGGGAUUGAAGGCAGCAACAAGGAACCAGACUCAUAGGGGGCUCAGAAAUAUUCCUUUGCUUUGAAUGUCCUCCAUCUGGAAGAGUUUAGCUAAUUAAACCAAAGAUCACGGAUGAGUUGGCCCCAUUUAUCUCCAAUGGAUGAAAUCCUUUUCUCUCCAGAGGAUUCUUCAGACAAAUAUCAAGGCAGUCCCUUGCUUCACCCAGUGGGCCUUCCGAUCUCUUCCUUAGCAAGGCAAUGUGGUGCUGAGCACCAGAAAAUUCCCAGGGAGAGCCUCUGCCAAAAUGCAAAACCAAGGAAAAAGGAUAAAAGCAACAGUUUUGGACCAGGCUGGCAGAAAUGGUAAACCCCAUCUGCCAUAUUUGCUUUUUCUUAAUCUAAAAUAACAGAGAUAACAUACACAAUGGACUUUCUAACUUGCCACUUUUCCCUUAUCUUUUUUCCCUUUGUGAGCCGAAGACAUCGUGUUCUUUCAUAUAACCUCUCUCUCUCUCAAAAAAAAAAAAAAAAAAAAAAAAAAAACCAACAACAACA